GGUUAAGCGACUAAGCGUACACGGUGGAUGCCCUGGCAGUCAGAGGCGAUGAAGGACGUGCUAAUCUGCGAAAAGCGUCGGUAAGGUGAUAUGAACCGUUAUAGCCGGCGAUGUCCGAAUGGGGAAACCCAGUGCAAUUCGUUGCACUAUCGUUAACUGAAUACAUAGGUUAACGAGGCGAACCGGGGGAACUGAAACAUCUAAGUACCCCGAGGAAAAGAAAUCAACCGAGAUUCCCCCAGUAGCGGCGAGCGAACGGGGAGCAGCCCAGAGUCUGAAUCAGCUUGUGUGUUAGUGGAACGGUCUGGAAAGUCCGACGGUACAGGGUGAUAGUCCCGUACACCAAAAUGCACAGGCUGUGAACUCGAAGAGUAGGGCGGGACACGUGGUAUCCUGUCUGAAUAUGGGGGGACCAUCCUCCAAGGCUAAAUACUCCUGACUGACCGAUAGUGAACCAGUACCGUGAGGGAAAGGCGAAAAGAACCCCGGCGAGGGGAGUGAAAAAGAACCUGAAACCGUGUACGUACAAGCAGUGGGAGCACCUUCGGGUGUGACUGCGUACCUUUUGUAUAAUGGGUCAGCGACUUAUAUUCUGUAGCAAGGUUAACCGUAUAGGGGAGCCGCAGGGAAACCGAGUCUUAACUGGGCGUUAAGUUGCAGGGUAUAGACCCGAAACCCGGUGAUCUAGCCAUGGGCAGGUUGAAGGUUGGGUAACACUAACUGGAGGACCGAACCGACUAAUGUUGAAAAAUUAGCGGAUGACUUGUGGCUGGGGGUGAAAGGCCAAUCAAACCGGGAGAUAGCUGGUUCUCCCCGAAAGCUAUUUAGGUAGCGCCUCGUGAACUCAUCUUCGGGGGUAGAGCACUGUUUCGGCUAGGGGGUCAUCCCGACUUACCAACCCGAUGCAAACUACGAAUACCGAAGAAUGUUAUCACGGGAGACACACGGCGGGUGCUAACGUCCGUCGUGAAGAGGGAAACAACCCAGACCGCCAGCUAAGGUCCCAAAGUCAUGGUUAAGUGGGAAACGAUGUGGGAAGGCACAGACAGCCAGGAUGUUGGCUUAGAAGCAGCCAUCAUUUAAAGAAAGCGUAAUAGCUCACUGGUCGAGUCGGCCUGCGCGGAAGAUGUAACGGGGCUAAACCAUGCACCGAAGCUGCGGCAGCGACACUAUGUGUUGUUGGGUAGGGGAGCGUUCUGUAAGCCUGCGAAGGUGUGCUGUGAGGCAUGCUGGAGGUAUCAGAAGUGCGAAUGCUGACAUAAGUAACGAUAAAGCGGGUGAAAAGCCCGCUCGCCGGAAGACCAAGGGUUCCUGUCCAACGUUAAUCGGGGCAGGGUGAGUCGACCCCUAAGGCGAGGCCGAAAGGCGUAGUCGAUGGGAAACAGGUUAAUAUUCCUGUACUUGGUGUUACUGCGAAGGGGGGACGGAGAAGGCUAUGUUAGCCGGGCGACGGUUGUCCCGGUUUAAGCAUGUAGGCUGAUUGUCCAGGCAAAUCCGGAUAAUCAAGGCUGAGGUGUGAUGACGAGGCACUACGGUGCUGAAGUAACAAAUGCCCUGCUUCCAGGAAAAGCCUCUAAGCAUCAGGUAACAUCAAAUCGUACCCCAAACCGACACAGGUGGUCAGGUAGAGAAUACCAAGGCGCUUGAGAGAACUCGGGUGAAGGAACUAGGCAAAAUGGUGCCGUAACUUCGGGAGAAGGCACGCUGGUGUGUAGGUGAAGUCCCUGCGGAUGGAGCUGAGACCAGUCGAAGAUACCAGCUGGCUGCAACUGUUUAUUAAAAACACAGCACUGUGCAAACACGAAAGUGGACGUAUACGGUGUGACGCCUGCCCGGUGCCGGAAGGUUAAUUGAUGGGGUUAUCCGUAAGGAGAAGCUCUUGAUCGAAGCCCCGGUAAACGGCGGCCGUAACUAUAACGGUCCUAAGGUAGCGAAAUUCCUUGUCGGGUAAGUUCCGACCUGCACGAAUGGCGUAAUGAUGGCCAGGCUGUCUCCACCCGAGACUCAGUGAAAUUGAACUCGCUGUGAAGAUGCAGUGUACCCGCGGCAAGACGGAAAGACCCCGUGAACCUUUACUAUAGCUUGACACUGAACAUUGAGCCUUGAUGUGUAGGAUAGGUGGGAGGCUUUGAAGCGUGGACGCCAGUCUGCGUGGAGCCAACCUUGAAAUACCACCCUUUAAUGUUUGAUGUUCUAACGUUGGCCCCUUACCGGGGUUGCGGACAGUGUCUGGUGGGUAGUUUGACUGGGGCGGUCUCCUCCCAAAGCGUAACGGAGGAGCACGAAGGUUAGCUAAUCCUGGUCGGACAUCAGGAGGUUAGUGCAAUGGCAUAAGCUAGCUUGACUGCGAGCGUGACGGCGCGAGCAGGUGCGAAAGCAGGUCAUAGUGAUCCGGUGGUUCUGAAUGGAAGGGCCAUCGCUCAACGGAUAAAAGGUACUCCGGGGAUAACAGGCUGAUACCGCCCAAGAGUUCAUAUCGACGGCGGUGUUUGGCACCUCGAUGUCGGCUCAUCACAUCCUGGGGCUGAAGUAGGUCCCAAGGGUAUGGCUGUUCGCCAUUUAAAGUGGUACGCGAGCUGGGUUUAGAACGUCGUGAGACAGUUCGGUCCCUAUCUGCCGUGGGCGCUGGAGAAUUGAGGGGGGCUGCUCCUAGUACGAGAGGACCGGAGUGGACGCAUCACUGGUGUUCGGGUUGUCAUGCCAAUGGCACUGCCCGGUAGCUAAAUGCGGAAGAGAUAAGUGCUGAAAGCAUCUAAGCACGAAACUUGCCCCGAGAUGAGUUCUCCCUGAGACUUUAAGUCUCCUGAAGGAACGUUGAAGACGACGACGUUGAUAGGCCGGGUGUGUAAGCGCAGCGAUGCGUUGAGCUAACCGGUACUAAUGAACCGUGAGGCUUAACCUU
rnacentral:rRNA from 1 species